ACGAACGCUGGCGGCAGGCCUAACACCUGCAAGUCGAGCGCCCCGCAAGGGGAGCGGCGGACGGGUGAGUAACGCGUGGGAAUAUGCCCUUUGCUACGGAAUAGUCUCGGGAAACUGGGGGUAAUACCGUAUACGCCCUUUGGGGGAAAGAUUUAUCGGCGAAGGAUUAGCCCGCGUUGGAUUAGGUAGUUGGUGGGGUAAUGGCCUACCAAGCCGACGAUCCAUAGCUGGUUUGAGAGGAUGAUCAGCCACACUGGGACUGAGACACGGCCCAGACUCCUACGGGAGGCAGCAGUGGGGAAUCUUAGACAAUGGGGGCAACCCUGAUCUAGCCAUGCCGCGUGAGUGAUGAAGGCCUUAGGGUUGUAAAGCUCUUUCAGCUGGGAAGAUAAUGACGGUACCAGCAGAAGAAGCCCCGGCUAACUCCGUG
rnacentral:rRNA from 1 species